rnacentral:ncRNA from 1 species
UAAAUUGAGAGUUUGAUCCUGGCUCAGGACGAACGCUGGCGGCGUGCCUAACACAUGCAAGUCGAGCGAUGAAGCCCUUCGGGGCUGAUUAGCGGCGGACGGGUGAGUAACACGUGGGUAACCUGCCUCAUAGAGGGGGAUAGCCUCCCGAAAGGGAGAUUAAUACCGCAUAAUAUAUUUUGGUUGCAUGACCGAAAUAUCAAAGGAGUAAUCCGCUAUGAGAUGGACCCGCGGCGCAUUAGCUAGUUGGUGAGGUAAGGGCUCACCGA